CACCACCGGCGGACGGCUCAGUAACACGUCGGUAACCUACCCUCGGGAGGGGGAUAACCCCGGGAAACUGGGGCUAAUUCCCCAUAGGCCUGAGGUACUGGAAGGUCCUCAGGCCGAAAGGGACUUAUGUCCGCCCGAGGAUGGGCCGGCGGCCGAUUAGGUAGUUGGUGGGGUAAUGGCCCACCAAGCCGAAGAUCGGUACGGGCUGUGAGAGCAGGAGCCCGGAGAUGGACACUGAGACACGGGUCCAGGCCCUACGGGGCGCAGCAGGCGCGAAACCUCCGCAAUGCGGGAAACCGCGACGGGGGGACCCCGAGUGCCGUGGCAACGCCACGGCUUUUCCGGAGUGUAAAAAGCUCCGGGAAUAAGGGCUGGGCAAGGCCGGUGGCAGCCGCCGCGGUAAUACCGGCGGCCCGAGUGGUGGCCGCUAUUAUUGGGCCUAAAGCGUCCGUAGCCGGGCCCGUAAGUCCCUGGCGAAAUCCCACGGCUCAACCGUGGGGCUUGCUGGGGAUACUGCGGGUCUUGGGACCGGGAGAGGCGGGGGGUACCCCUGGGGUAGGGGUGAAAUUCCUAUAAUCCCAGGGGGACCGCCAGUGGCGA
rnacentral:rRNA from 1 species